GAUGAACGCUGGCGGCGUGCCUAAUACAUGCAAGUCGAGCGGACAGAUAAGGCUUUUGCUUGUUUGACGUUAGGGGCGGACGGGUGAGUCACACGAGUGUAACUUACCUAUAAGACUGGGAUCACUUCGGGAACGCGGAUCUAACACCCGAUAAUAUUUCGAAACGCGUGGUUCGUUGGUGAUAGAUGGUUUUGCUGUGACUUAUACGUGUUCACGCGCCGGAUUAGGUAGUUGGUACGGUAACGGCUUACCAAGGCGAGGAUACGUAGGCGACCUGAGAGGAUGAUCGGCCACACUGGAACUGAGACACGGUCCAGACUCCUACGGGAGGCAGCAGUAGGGAAUCUUCCGCAAUGGGCGAAAGCCUGACGCAGCAACGCCGCGUGUGUGAUGAAGGUCUUCGGAUCGUAAAACUCUGUUAUUAGGGAGGAACAUAAGUGUAAUUAACCGUGCACGUCUUGACGGUACCUAAACAAAAAGCCACGGCUAACUACGUG
rnacentral:rRNA from 1 species